GUGGGUAGUUUGACUGGGGCGGUCUCCUCCUAAAGAGUAACGGAGGAGCACGAAGGUUGGCUAAUCCUGGUCGGACAUCAGGAGGUUAGUGCAAUGGCAUAAGCCAGCUUGACUGCGAGCGUGACGGCGCGAGCAGGUGCGAAAGCAGGUCAUAGUGAUCCGGUGGUUCUGAAUGGAAGGGCCAUCGCUCAACGGAUAAAAGGUACUCCGGGGAUAACAGGCUGAUACCGCCCAAGAGUUCAUAUCGACGGCGGUGUUUGGCACCUCGAUGUCGGCUCAUCACAUCCUGGGGCUGAAGUAGGUCCCAAGGGUAUGGCUGUUCGCCAUUUAAAGUGGUACGCGAGCUGGGUUUAGAACGUCGUGAGACAGUUCGGUCCCUAUC
rnacentral:rRNA from 1 species